UUAUCUGUCGAUGCGUUUGAUUUUUUCCUUAAUCACCUAAGUUCAAUUUCUGUUUGUUCAUUUUUUUCGUUUUUAUUGUUAUUUAUUUAACUCAGUUUGGAUAUUUUUUUUUGUUUUUCACUUUUUCUCUACAUUUUUCAUGCAUAUAUAGCGUGGUUGGAAUUUGUUAUGAAGAAAGAUCGCAGCAGUGGUAGUGCGGCGGCGGUGGAGCAAAGAAUGGUUCUUCAUAAAGUGCAACAGGUGAAGAAGAGUAGACAUGGACCGAGGUCGCGAAGCUCAGAGUAUCGCGGCGUCACCAUCUAUCGAAGGAUUGGAUGAUGUGAAUCGCAUAUUUGCAUGAUGGAUUCUUCCCUUUUCUUGAAAAUUGAUGCUUUUCCCAACAACAACAACACAGAUUAGAGACCAUUGGAGCAAAGCAAAGGCUGUUGAUAUUUGAUAAGCACAACAAUGACCCUCAGAUAUAAUGUGUAACAGGUACAAUAUGCUUGAUCAAGGUUUUGUUAAGGAAUCGGUGUUUUGAUUUUGGCUGAACCAUAACCCAGAGGAAGAGAAUGGGAGCGAACUUGUUUUUGGAGGUGUUGAUCCCAAUCACUACAAGGGAAAGCACACUUAUGUGUCUGUGUCAAG